rnacentral:misc_RNA from 1 species
GAUGUUAGUGUUAGGUAGAUGAUAUAUUUACACUGUACAUGUGAAUGUGUGUGUAAGCGUCAGAGGCCGUCCAGGUUUCAGUUGAGACAAAAGACGAUGGGAAGCUGUUAGAAGAAUUUAGAGGAGUCGAUUGGCAACAAGCGUGCGUGCAAGAAGGUUAUCGAGGUCUUCAGAGUGUAAUAUAUAUGUAUAGCUGUUGCGUGCGAAAUAAAGUAAAUUAUUUGUGUUUCCGAAUCCUUUCUAUACCUUAACAAUAAU